AACAAGGUCUCCGUUGGUGAACCAGCGGAGGGAUCAUUACUGAGUUUACGCUCUACAACCCUUUGUGAACAUACCUAUAACUGUUGCUUCGGCGGGUAGGGUCUCCGUGACCCUCCCGGCCUCCCGCCCCCGGGCGGGUCGGCGCCCGCCGGAGGAUAACCAAACUCUGAUUUAACGACGUUUCUUCUGAGUGGUACAAGCAAAUAAUCAAAACUUUUAACAACGGAUCUCUUGGUUCUGGCAUCGAUGAAGAACGCAGCGAAAUGCGAUAAGUAAUGUGAAUUGCAGAAUUCAGUGAAUCAUCGAAUCUUUGAACGCACAUUGCGCCCGCCAGCAUUCUGGCGGGCAUGCCUGUUCGAGCGUCAUUUCAACCCUCAAGCUCUGCUUGGUGUUGGGGCCCUACAGCUGAUGUAGGCCCUCAAAGGUAGUGGCGGACCCUCCCGGAGCCUCCUUUGCGUAGUAACUUUACGUCUCGCACUGGGAUCCGGAGGGACUCUUGCCGUAAAACCCCCCAAUUUUCCAAAGGUUGACCUCGGAUCAGGUAGGAAUACCCGCUGAACUUAAGCAUAU
rnacentral:rRNA from 1 species